rnacentral:rRNA from 1 species
UACGUAGGGUGCGAGCGUUGUCCGGAAUUAUUGGGCGUAAAGGGCUCGUAGGCGGUCUGUUGCGUCGGGAGUGAAAACUCAGGGCUUAACCCUGAGCCUGCUUCCGAUACGGGCAGGCUAGAGUUCGGUAGGGGAGAUCGGAAUUCCUGGUGUAGCGGUGAAAUGCGCAGAUAUCAGGAGGAACACCGGUGGCGAAGGCGGAUCUCUGGGCCGAUACUGACGCUGAGGAGCGAAAGCGUGGGGAGCGAACAGG